AAGCCCUUAGGGGUGGUAAACGUUUUUGGGGGGGGGAAACGGACAUCCAGGGGGGGGCCUUGCAAGGGUUCCCGGAGAAUAAGCCUGGGUUAUUUCGGUGCCACCAGCGGGGGUAAUAGGGAGGACGGGAGGUUUUUCGGGAUUUAUUGGGUUAAAAGGAGGGGCCGGCGGGGCGACAAAGUCACCGGGGAAAAGUCUCGGGUUCAACCGGAUGCAGCGCCGUUAAUAGUGGUCGUUUUGUAAUGCGAUCAGGCGCGGCAAAUCGUGGUGUGGAGCGGAGAAACACAUAUAUAUGCCACAGCCCAGAGAUAGAGAACACAUCUGGCGGCGCUUGCAGUCACUCUCAGGCGAGGAAGCGUGGGUCUCGCACAAGAUGAGAUCCCGGUAGUGUGCACGGUGUAAGCGAUGCACACUGGUUGUGCGCCGACAGACAGUGAGUCGGCCAAGCGAAAGUGAUAAGUGUCCCACCUGGGGAGUACGGUCGCAAGGGUGAAACUCAAAGGAAUUGACGGGGGCCCGCCCAAGCGAUGGAGCAUGUGGUUUAAUUGGAUGAUACGGGAGGACCCUUACCCGGGUUAGAACGCAAGGGGAGCGCCACAGAGAUCUGAAUGUCCUUCGGGACGCCAUGUGAGGUGUUGCAGGGUGGUGGUCAGUUGGUCCCGGGAGGGGUCAGGCUAAGUCCUAUAAGGAGCGCACCCCCUACCCCCAGUUCCCUUCGGUUAGGCCGGGCACUCCGAGGGCACUGCCCCCGCAAGGGGAGAGGAAGGCGGGGAUGACGUCAAAUCAGCACGGCCCUUACGUCCGGGGCCACACACGUGUUACAAUGGCGGGCACAGAGGGCAGCCCCAUGGUGACAGGGAGCGAAUCCCGAAAUCCCGUCUCAGUCCGGAUCGGAGUCUGCAACUCGACUCCGUGAAGCCGGAAUCGCUAGUAAUCGCGCAUCAGCCAUGGCGCGGUGAAUACGUUCCCGGGCCUUGCACACACCGCCCGUCAAG
rnacentral:rRNA from 1 species